CAGUUCAGAAGGUCACCAUCUUGUGACAGGGGGAGGUAUAAGGUAAGUCUUCAUGGUCAGUGUCUCAAUAUAACAGCCCAAAGGCUCCGUUCCAAUAUUGUAGGUGUCCUUGUCACCAGAGCCUCACUUGUUCUCCUUGAGGAACGUCUCAUCACCAUCUUAAAGAAUUCUUCUAAUGCUUCAUCAGCUGAAGGUGAAGUUUAAUAAACGAGCCCUUGCAGCCCGGAGAGACCGAAGAAACACGGCUCAGGAAGAGAAGGUGUUUGUAAGCAGAACUGAAGUGUAAUAUUACUGCACACCUUCAUAUAUUCCUCCGUUUCUACCUCGCUUCCAGGGAUGACUCGUGUCACUGCCUUACGUUCAGAGGAAGUCUCGUAAACGUCGGCUCGUAAACGGUAAUGACAGGUGGAGACGAGCGAGACGGAUAAAAAGGACUCUAUUUAUUUCCUAUAAUGAGCAGGGAUUUGGAAGCCGUCCUGCUGCAUUACAUACAUCAGACCUAAUGAAGAGGGAAUAAAUGGCCGUGUGCACACUCUGGAUCACGCAGCACUCUCAUUAAUAUACACCACUCCAUCUCCUGGUUCAUGAAUAAGAAUGAGCAUUCUAACCAGAAUUUGGAAGACACUCUGAUCCAGAACAACGUCCAUUUAUCACAGCUCUGUGUUAAGGGCCUCGCUCAAGGGCCCAACAGUUGCAGCUUGACGGUCGGUACUGGGAUUUAAACCCAUGAUCACAGUCUUAACCCCAGAGCUACUACACUCCACCAGUUCGAGCUCAUGGCUGAAACGUCUUCCCAGUUACCUGCAUCAUACAUCAUACAUCCAGGGAGGUGUUUUUUUUUUCUCUCACAAAACCUCAAAUAAACAUUAACGAAGUCCGUAACACACUUGACGAUCCUGGAUUUUAAUGAAGAGCACUUGGGUAUUAAAUAGAUCCUGUGUGAGAGACUACUAACAUCAUGUCAGGCCUGUUUUAAUUCUCUAAUGGUUCUGCGGCUAACCGCUGUCAAGUCCUUCAAGCCUAAUCCCCCUCGCACUAUUUCUUAUUUACACGGAUUUAUGAGACGAUUAUUGCUAUGGUAUGUGAAUGGAAUUCUUCAGGCCUGGUGUAUCUGCACAGAGCUCAGUUUAUCUAACCACAUACACUCACCUCCUGUUUCCUUAAUGGCCCCAACUCUGUGGGAGGGACAUCCUGUCGUCUGUUUCGGUCUCGUCUGUGUGCGUGUGUGUGUGUGUGUGUGUGUGUGAGAUCACGCAUGUGGAGGCCAUUAAGCAUUUAAACUGCAAUUCUGACUUUUCUCAGAUCUCUCCAUCUUAAUGUAUUAUUAUUAAACAGUGAUGGAUCAGAGUGA